GACAAAGGGGUGAGAAGGCAGCACGAAAGCCUGCAUGGCCACGCCAGCUGCCUCGGUGGGCAACUGGAGCUCUGCCAUCAGAGACUCUGGGCCACGGUGCAAACGCACACGGGAAGUGACCCACCCAAGGGGCAGGCGAAGGAGCUGGGUCCUUAUGCAUCGACUCCUAUCAGUUAUUGGAGGAGGGGUGGAGGAGGGGUGGAGGUAUGAAGUCCCGGGCGCUCCUGGCCUGCCACAGCCCCACACAAGUCCUCAGGCUCAAGUCGCAGAUCCUGGCUGUAGCGUCUCAAAAUGGUCACGUCCAAGAGAAAAAGUCAGGGCGCCAGCACCAUCGGAUUCAGUCCCUAAGGGACCUGGCCCAACCUCUCCUAUGGUUCCAAAUACCUCCGGAGGCUUCAGACUUCCACCCACCAUCUCCGUCUCCAGCUCUACAGCAAACCACCUGCCGACAGCCCACACCUUCCGAGGGGCUGGCAAGAGCACCGUAAAGAUGAAAAGAAACCCAGGUGGACAGUCCCCUCCCCUAAAUAGCCAAAAUUAAAGAGACCGACAACAUUGAGCAUUGGUUAGGAUGGGGACCCCCUGGAAUUCCCAUGCAUUGAUGGUGGCAGCGCAAAUUGCAGAGCGGAGCAGCCACUCUGGAAUCCUGUUUAGCCUGAUCCACUGGAGCCAACCAUGCCUACGCCAUGUCCCCACCCCUCUCCUCCUAGGUGGGUGCCCCAGAGGAAUAACUCUCUCCAUCCCCACUGAAAGAUGUGUGCUAGAAUGUUCACGGCGGCUUUACUCGUAACAGCCAAAACUGGAAAUGAUUUAAAUGCCCUUCCAGAAGAGAAUGGGUGAAUAAGUUGUGCUGUGUUCAUACAAAGGGAUACCACACAGCGUUGAAAGGAGGGAACUGCUGAUCCACAUGGAUGAGCCUCACAGACACGAUGGCCAGGGGAAGGCAGUCUAACGCAACGUCAGGGGACCGACUUACAACCCCAUUUACAUGAAGUUCAAAAACAGGAAAAACUGACGAAUGGUGCUCGAAGUCAGACACAGGUUGUCUCUGGGGGGAUAUUGACUGAGAAGCGGCCUGUGGGACCUCUGCGGGCUGCAGGUGUUCAACAUUGCCGUCUGCGUGGCGGUUACUGGGAGAGAGAUAGGUGGGUAGGUAGACAUAUAGGUAGAUGAUAGAUAGAUAGAUGGAUAGAUAGAUGGAUAGAUAAAUGGAGGAAUAGAUAGAUAGAUGGAUAGGUAGACAGACACAGAUGAUAGAUGAUAGAUAGAUAGAUAGAUAGAUGGAUAGAUAGGUAGAUAAAUAGACAGAU
rnacentral:lncRNA from 1 species